UUCUACUCUCGGCCUUUUGGCUAAGAUCAAAGUGUAGUAUCUGUUCUUAUCAGCUUAAUAUCUGAUACGGUCCCUAUUUGGGACCAUCGAUAUUAAACUGAUUUUUAGAACAAGGCGAAGAGUUAGGGACUUGCUCCGCCUUUGCCACGGCAAUAUUAUACUACACUCGCGGAGUGGUUGGCAUUAGGA